rnacentral:rRNA from 1 species
GAUGAACGCUGGCGGCGUGCCUAAUACAUGCAAGUCGAGCGAACGGACGAGAAGCUUGCUUCUCUGAUGUUAGCGGCGGACGGGUGAGUAACACGUGGAUAACCUACCUAUAAGACUGGGAUAACUUCGGGAAACCGUAGCUAAUACCGGAUAAUAUUUUGAACCGCAUGGUUCAAAAGUGAAAGACGGUCUUGCUGUCACUUAUAGAUGGAUCCGCGCUGCAUUAGCUAGUUGGUAAGGUAACGGCUUACCAAGGCAACGAUGCAUAGCCGACCUGAGAGGGUGAUCGGCCACACUGGAACUGAGACACGGUCCAGACUCCUACGGGAGGCAGCAGUAGGGAAUCUUCCGCAAUGGGCGAAAGCCUGACGGAGCAACGCGGCGUGAGUGAUGAAGGUCUUCGGAUCGUAAAACUCUGUUAUUAGGGAAGAACAUAUGUGUAAGUAACUGUGCACAUCUUGACGGUACCUAAUCAGAAAGCCACGGCUAACUACGUG